rnacentral:rRNA from 1 species
UGAAUACGAGAUGCUACGGCGUCGAAGCAGUCUAUGUCAUACUUCCAAGAAAAGCUCGCACUGUCAUAAACAAAUAAUGCCUGUACCAUAACCGACACAGGUGGGUAGGUAGAGUAUACUAAGGGGCGCGAGAUAACUCUCUCUAAGGAACUCGGCAAAAUGACUCCGUAACUUCGGGAGAAGGAGUGCCUUAUUUAUAAGGUUGCAAUAACAAGAUCCAAGCAACUGUUUAUCAAAAACACAGGUCUCCGCUAAGUCGUAAGACGAUGUAUGGGGGCUGACGCCUGCCCAGUGCCAGAAGGUUAAAGAAGUUGGUUAGCAUUCGCGAAGCUGAUAACUGAAGCCCUGGUGAACGGCGGCCGUAACAAUAACGGUCCUAAGGUAGCGAAAUUCCUUGUCGGGUAAGUUCCGACCCGCACGAAAGGCGUAAUGAUUUGGAUACUGUCUCGGAGAGGGGCUCGGUGAAAUAGACUUGUCUGUGAAGAUGCGGACUACCUGCACCAGGACAGAAAGACCCUAUGAAGCUUUACUGUAACUUGAGAUUGAAAUUGGACUUUACUUGCGCAGUAUAGGUGGGAGGCGUUGAUAAUAUUCUUGCGGGAUUAUUUGAGCCAUCAGUGAGAUACCACUCUUGUAAUGUUAGAUUUCUAACUUUGUAUCAUCAUCUGGUCAAAGGACAGUUUCAGGCGGGCAGUUUGACUGGGGCGGUCGCCUCCUAAACGGUAACGGAGGCGCACAAAGGUUUCCUCUGAACGGGUAGAAAUCGUAUCUAGAGUGUAAAGGCAUAAGGAAGCUUGACUGUGAGACCUACAAGUCGAGCAGGGACGAAAGUCGGUCUUAGUGAUCUGACGGUGCAGAGUGGAAAGGCCGUCACUCAACGGAUAAAAGUUACUCUAGGAUAACAGGCUGAUCUCCCCCAAGAGUUCACAUCGACGGGGAGGUUUGGCACCUCGAUGUCGGCUCAUCGCAUCCUGGGGCGGUAGUACGUCCCAAGGGUUGGGCUGUUCGCCCAUGAAAGCGGUACGCGAGCUGGGUUCAGAACGUCGUGAGACAGUUCGGUCCAUAUCCGGUGUAGGCGUUAGAAUAUUGAGAGGAGCCUUCUUUAGUACGAGAGGACCGAGAAGGACAUACCUCUGGUGUACCAGUUAUCGUGCCAACGGUAAACGCUGGGUAGCUAUGUAUGGAGUGGAUAACCGCUGAAAGCAUCUAAGUGGGAAGCCCACCUCAAGAUAAGUAUUCUC